CUCAGAUUGAACGCUGGCGGCAUGCCUUACACAUGCAAGUCGAACGGUAGAGGGGGCAACCCUUGAGAGUGGCGAACGGGUGAGUAAUAUAUACGGAACGUGCCCAGUCGGUGGGGGAUAACGUAGCGAAAGUUACGCUAAUACCGCAUACGAUCUAAGGAUGAAAGCGGGGGAUCGCAAGACCUCGCGCGAUUGGAGCGGCCGAUAUCAGAUUAGGUAGUUGGUGAGGUAAAGGCUCACCAAGCCAACGAUCUGUAGCUGGUCUGAGAGGACGACCAGCCACACUGGAACUGAGACACGGUCCAGACUCCUACGGGAGGCAGCAGUGGGGAAUUUUGGACAAUGGACGCAAGUCUGAUCCAGCCAUUCCGCGUGCAGGAUGAAGGCCCUCGGGUUGUAAACUGCUUUGUACGGAACGAAAAGGUUUGUCUUAAUACGAUGAGCUCAUGACGGUACCGUAAGAAUAAGCACCGGCUAACUACGUG
rnacentral:rRNA from 1 species